ensembl:lncRNA
GAACAAGCAAGGCAAUGGCAGAUGAAAUUAAAUGUUGACAAAUGCAAGUUAAUGUGCAUUGGAAGGCAUAAUGUGACCUACUCAUACACAUUGCUGCAUUUUAAAUUAACUGUAACCACUCAGGGAAAAGACCUAGAGGUUAUUGUGAACAGCUCAAUAAAAACAUCUGUUAAAUGAACAGAAGCAGUCAGAAAAGCAAACAAAACAUUGGGCCGUACAAGGGAGAUUUUAUAUUAUCAUUUAUAUUAUGAUAAUACAUCAGGACACUGAAAACUGCUUUCUGUUGUGCCAGGCUCUGUGUGAGCAGAGAGUGAAAAGGCAUCCGAGUGUGACCAGACACCAAUGGAUAAGGAGAUUCCUGGAGCAGAGGUUUGCCUUCAAGCAAGGAGAACUGUGUGAUGUGCAAGACUUCUGGCUCUGCAAGCAGCUCAACAAGCCGAAGAGUUGAUCUUCCUCUGAAUUGGAAAGAAUUGCACAUUAAAAAGUUUGAAACCGACGGCUGAUCUCAAACUGAGACCUUUCGUUUGACCCAAAGCAGCAGUAGGGAGAUGGGGAUGGCGAGCCUUGCCUCUUUUGUGAUGCAGAGAGAAAGUGGAGAAACCAGCGAGCGCAUCCAUGUACAAGUGCGGGUGACUUCAGCCAGAAGUGGCGGAGGGGUUUAACUCACCAUAUUGAAGUCAGCAGGAUGGGGUUUGAUGGAUCUUAUCUUAUCUCACCUUGGUGCAUCUCUCUGCUCAAAUCUGAUUCAGCACAUGAAAAGUCCAGCAGCAGACUCCUGCGACCACGCCUGCUUGGAUGCCAGCGCUGCCGUGGAGCUCCUGCAAUGUGUAAUCACUGCUCUCAUGCCUCUGGUGCCCAGGGAGCCUUGCACUUACAUGGGCAGGUGGAAACCCUCCCUCAGCAAACACGCCACCAGCUGCAGCAUGUCCCACUGGAGGAGCUGGGCUGACAGACGGAGCAAGGACGACGUCCUGAGCUUUGGCUUGGCUGCUGUAUGGGGAAUAAUUCUUGUGGGCCCCUUUCUGCUUGUGUGAGCGUUUUCGGAGCAUCUUCAGAAGCACCAGCCCUCUCCUCUGUCGUAUUAUUUUUGUUUGUAAAUCCUGGCUGAAGAAGGAUCUCGGCUCAAACAUAAAGCUCCAUCUGACCUGAGCAGCACGGGGCAAAUCUGGGAUCAAGCCUGUGAAGAAAACGGGUUUAUUAGCCUUAUAAAUUGAAUCUGGAGUUCUUGGUGCAAAUAACCUAGUACCCUCCCAAGUGACUCUGCUUUAAUGAGAAUUGUCAAAGCUGCAGGUCUCACAGAUGUGAUAAAGAUUGGACAACUCUAGGGGUGGACAGCCAGGUUCCAGUGUGCUUCUGCCCAGCCUAGAAGAGCUCCCUCAGCAACACCAGGGCUUCUCUCCCUACGGAUGGAGGGAAGUUCCCAACAUAUUCUCACAUUCCUCCAGUUAAAAACUUCCCACCCACAGACAUCCCAGAGCAUCCCUUUGGAGAACGAAACACAAAGGGAAUCCAAGAUGAUGCUUGGCUUCCUGCUGCUGAGACAAAUAGUGAGGCUGUUAAACUCUACCAUUGUCCCACGUCCUUUAGAGUGGAAAGAGUUUGUACUCCUUGCUCUAAGAUUUACGCAGCAGUGCUCUCCAACUCCAGGCAGCUGGGAAGUCCCCAUCUGAAACCUCUCCACAAGCUGAUGGGAAGCAGCAAGACCCACACUGCCUUCAUCAUUGUCAUCCCCAUCAAUGGAGCCAACGGGUCAGAAAACUCCCAUCCGUUACACCUAUGGCAUGCCAUCAGCUCGCAGGUGAUGAGGAAAAGCAGAUGCAGUUUUUGGUGAGCCAGUUGUUCUCCCGUUUUGCACAUCCCAAAAUGAGCUUCAAGAUUCCAAGCAUGCUUCACGCUGUAGGGUUCUGUCCACAGGGUCUGGGCUGGAUGUGACCUUAGGAGUGAAUGCAGUGUGGGGAACAGAAAAAUUCAGCAAAAAAAGAGCAAAUGUGUUAACGGAGGGCAAAAAAAAAACACACAUCAUGUAGUUCCCUCUAUUCUUAGUUUUAUGCAUUCGGCCGGUUCUGGAGUGACUGAAAACCUGAGAAUUUGAAAGGAAUGUUGUGAUUUCAGCCGAGUUCAAUAUUCUCUUCAAUAUUUUGAAAAGUGGAAGUCUUAGGCAGCUGAACAGAACUUUGCCCAUUGACAAUUCCUGCUUAGAGAAUAAACUUAGAAUAAAUAAAGGCAUCAUAGUGGGAAUUGGCUGGAGUAAACCAUUCUGUGCUGCAGUAAAAUUCAAUUCUAGGUGGUUUCAGUUGCGAUCUCCAAUACAAACCCUGAACGUUACUGUCCUUCAAAUGCUUCUUUAUUGGAAAGCAGUCCCAGUGUCCCAGAAAGCCCCCAAAGGCUUUCUUUUGCCAUAUGCCUGCACUCAGCUGCAAGUUGUUCAUGCUGCGCUCAUGAGGGUGGGCAUCCACCUCACUUCAGCCUUUCAGACCCGAAGUAUCAAGCCUAAACCUACUGCCACGGUUCCCUUGUUUUUCAGAGGGAGGUUGGAACUGCAGCCUCCUACAGCUCUGCAGGCAGGGUGCUUGCUUCCAGCUGACCACGCUCAGGGAGAUGUACUGGGCUACUCGGUGAUUCCUAUUCCUCCUCCUGUUACGUUUUUCUUCCCUACCUGCCUUAACAACACUCUGUUUACGCUAUCUCAGGCCAAGGAUCAAAGUGCUAUUCCCCUCUGCCAAGAGCGAUUUAGCAGUGCCUUCCUUGGACUUGCUUUGUUAUAACUUUUGCAUUGCCCGGGUGCUGAGUUAUUCAUUAUGCGCAGGCUGCAGAGACAAUUGUAUGCGUUCCUCUUCCUGUCUGUGCAAUAUUUUGACAUUUCCCUGUGUCUAUUGGAAUUCAGUCCUGUCUUUAAAUAAAUAUCUUGCUUUCCCAUGGGAAGAGCUCCAGGAGCUCCU